rnacentral:rRNA from 1 species
GCAAUUGCGGCAGCUACACAUGCAGUCGAGCGGAACGAGAAGUAGCUUGCUACUUCGGCGUCGAGCGGCGGACGGGUGAGUAAUGCAUAGGAAGUUGCCCAGUAGAGGGGGAUAACCAUUGGAAACGAUGGCUAAUACCGCAUAACCUCUUCGGAGCAAAGCGGGGGACCUUCGGGCCUCGCGCUACUGGAUACGCCUAUGUGGGAUUAGCUAGUUGGUGAGGUAAUGGCUCACCAAGGCGACGAUCCCUAGCUGGUCUGAGAGGAUGAUCAGCCACACUGGGACUGAGACACGGCCCAGACUCCUACGGGAGGCAGCAGUGGGGAAUAUUGCACAAUGGGCGAAAGCCUGAUGCAGCCAUGCCGCGUGUAUGAAGAAGGCCUUCGGGUUGUAAAGUACUUUCAGUUGUGAGGAAGGUUUCGUAGUUAAUAACUGCGUUGCUUGACGUUAGCAACAGAAGAAGCACCGGCUAACUCCGUGCCAGCAGCCGCGGUAAUACGGAGGGUGCGAGCGUUAAUCGGAAUUACUGGGCGUAAAGCGCAUGCAGGUGGUUUGUUAAGUCAGAUGUGAAAGCCCGGGGCUCAACCUCGGAAGGUCAUUUGAAACUGGCAAACUAGAGUACUGUAGAGGGGGGUAGAAUUUCAGGUGUAGCGGUGAAAUGCGUAGAGAUCUGAAGGAAUACCAGUGGCGAAGGCGGCCCCCUGGACAGAUACUGACACUCAGAUGCGAAAGCGUGGGGAGCAAACAGGAUUAGAUACCCUGGUAGUCCACGCCGUAAACGAUGUCUACUUGGAGGUUGUGGCCUUGAGCCGUGGCUUUCGGAGCUAACGCGUUAAGUAGACCGCCUGGGGAGUACGGUCGCAAGAUUAAAACUCAAAUGAAUUGACGGGGGCCCGCACAAGCGGUGGAGCAUGUGGUUUAAUUCGAUGCAACGCGAAGAACCUUACCUACUCUUGACAUCCAGAGAACUUUCCAGAGAUGGAUUGGUGCCUUCGGGAACUCUGAGACAGGUGCUGCAUGGCUGUCGUCAGCUCGUGUUGUGAAAUGUUGGGUUAAGUCCCGCAACGAGCGCAACCCUUAUCCUUGUUUGCCAGCGAGUAAUGUCGGGAACUCCAGGGAGACUG